rnacentral:rRNA from 1 species
UACGGAGGAUGCAAGCGUUAUCCGGAUUCAUUGGGUUUAAAGGGUGCGUAGGCGGCUUUUUAAGUCAGUGGUGAAAUCUUGCCGCUUAACGGUAAAAUUGCCAUUGAUACUGAAAAGCUUGAGUACAUUUGAGGUAAGCGGAAUGUGUAGUGUAGCGGUGAAAUGCUUAGAUAUUACACAGAACACCAAUUGCGAAGGCAGCUUACUAAACUGAUACUGACGCUGAUGCACGAAAGCGUGGGGAGCGAACAGG